AGAGAGAGAAGAAAAACGAGAACAAAGAAAAUUAAGAGAAAAAAAAUCAGAUCUAGAUACUAAUAUAAGAAAUCAUCGAUAAUGCCUAAAGAAAUGGAACUAGGUAGGUUUAAGAUCAAACUUAAUCAAUUGAUUUUCUAUCAAACCUAAUCAAUUAUCAUUCUAGAUCGAAAAAAUGGGAGGAAACAAUCAAUCGGUGAAGAAGAAAAGCUAGAAGAAUCGACCUUAGCAUAGGAAUUCAGAGAUAAAGAAAACGAUUCGCAACACCAAAUUGAGAAAGAAAAAAUGUAAAAGAAGAAAACUAUGACAAAGGGAAUCCUUGCUAGAAAAUAUAACUGUCUUGGAUCUUAGCGUAUGAGAAUGAUGGAAAAAAUGGUAUCCUCUUUAUAUUAAUCAUUUCUCGCUACCACAUUUGGCGUUAUGUUUAUUGUAGAUAGCCUUCUUCUUUUAUUGUAUUGAUAAUUUUGUAGAUUCCGCCAAUAUGUUGAAUAAUUUGCAGAUUGGGUAACACCAAGUACUACUAGAUGAAUAACUUAGUUAUCUAGUUGUAUAAAACUACAUAAUUAUAUUUUACCUUUUUGUUGCUCAAUUCUAAAUAUGUAUUGUUAGUUUUUACUAGGUUUCAAAUCUUUGGCAUAACUGUAGCUAUGAUCAAAUAAAAACUGAAAUUGAUUCGUAUACAAGUUUUGAAUUCUGAAUGUGUAUUUACGAGUUACACAUGCAUAUGGAAUGUGUAACGAGGAGUUACACAUGCAUAUGAAUUGUGUAAGUAUGAGUUACACAUGCAUUUAAAUAUUUUGUUUCUCUCUAUCAUAGCUUGUGUACCCAACGUAUAGGAAUGGUGUUGCAUGGUGUUCCCUUUCUCUCUCGGAAGCAUAAUGUUUGAGAACACACGAUGGGUGGCUUUAGAAAAAGCUAGUUGUUUAGUUUGUUGUAUAAAAUGAUACAAUUAGAUUAUACCUUUUUUGUUACUUAAUUCUAAAUGUGCAUGGUAGUUUUUACUAGGUUUCAUAUCUUUGGUAUAACAGUAACUAUGGUUGUAUAAAAAUUGGAAUUGAUUUGUAUGAAACUUUUCAAAUCUAAAUGUGUAUCUAGAAGUUAUACACUCAUAUUGGCAUGUGUAACCAAGAGAUACACAUGCCAUAUGCAUGUGUAAACAAAUAUUACUCAUGCAUGUGACUUAUGUAAUUCGGAGUUACACACGCAUUUAAAUAUUAUGUUUAUGUAUUUUGUUUCUCUCUGUUAUAGAUUGUGUACCCAUCGUAUGGAAGUGACGGGAAAAAUGGUUUUCUUUAUCGUUAUCCUCAGAAAUUUAAUGUUUGAUAAUGACACAAAUCACAUGUCGUUAUCCUCGUUUUCUUUCUUAUUAGAAGUUAACAUCCAUAUUUAAAUAUUUUCUUUUGUUCGGUAUAACUAAGAACUUUGAAAUUUAUUUUGCAUGAUUUUGCGUGCUCUGUUGAAUCCUCGGGAGCACAACCAACAAGUAUCUUCAAUGCAUGAUAUUGAAAGUAUGAACCUGAUCUUGGAUGGCACUGAACCUGAUCUUGGAUGGCACUGAAACUAUGUACCGGACAUGAUAUUGAUGUAGUAGGUAAAAAUUGAUGGUUACUUCUUUUGAGAUGUUGUGACUUGUAUUUUCAUUUUUGUUGCAGUUGCCUCUGUGUGCUAUGCACAUAUUGAUGCAGUUUAGAUGCUACAGUUUCUCAACAUUGAAGAGAUGUCUGAAACCUCAUCAAGCCAUGGUGGGGUAACAUCUGUGAUUGGUUUUAUUAAGAAGUUAUUGAGAAGUGAGUUGCGGAUACUCAUGUAAAUGGUUAAUGUAACAAUUAGAUUAAUGUUACCAUAUACUU